UCGAGCGAACUGAUUAGAAGCUUGCUUCUAUGACGUUAGCGGCGGACGGGUGAGUAACACGUGGGCAACCUGCCUGUAAGACUGGGAUAACUUCGGGAAACCGAAUCUAAUACCGGAUAGGAUCUUCUCCUUCAUGGGAGAUGAUUGAAAGAUGGUUUCGGCUAUCACUUACAGAUGGGCCCGCGGUGCAUUAGCUAGUUGGUGAGGUAACGGCUCACCAAGGCAACGAUGCAUAGCCAACCUGAGAGGGUGAUCGGCCACACUGGGACUGAAACACGGCCCAGACUCCUACGGGAGGCAGCAGUAGGGAAUCUUCCGCAAUGGACGAAAGUCUGACGGAGCAACGCCGCGUGAGUGAUGAAGGCUUUCGGGUCGUAAAACUCUGUUGUUAGGGAAAAACAAGUACGAGAGUAACUGCUUGUACCUUGACGGUACCUAACCAAAAAGCCACGGCUAACUACGUGCCAGCAGCCGCGGUAAUACGUAGGUGGCAAGCGUUAUCCGGAAUUAUUGGGCGUAAAGCGCGCGCAGGCGGUUUCUUAAGUCUGAUGUGAAAGCCCACGGCUCAACCGUGGAGGGUCAUUGGAAACUGGGGAACUUGAGUGCAGAAGAGAAAAGCGGAAUUCCACGUGUAGCGGUGAAAUGCGUAGAGAUGUGGAGGAACACCAGUGGCGAAGGCGGCUUUUUGGUCUGUAACUGACGCUGAGGCGCGAAAGCGUGGGGAGCAAACAGGAUUAGAUACCCUGGUAGUCCACGCCGUAAACGAUGAGUGCUAAGUGUUAGGAGGGUUUCCGCCCUUUAGUGCUGCAGCUAACGCAUUAAGCACUCCGCCUGGGGAGUACGGUCGCAAGACUGAAACUCAAGGAAUUGACGGGGGCCCGCACAAGCGGUGGAGCAUGUGUUUUAAUUCGAAGCAACGCGAAGACCUUACCAGGUCUUGACAUCCUCUGACAACUCUAGAGAUAGAGC
rnacentral:rRNA from 1 species